UGUGCAGGCGGAUUGGCAUGUCGAUGGUGAAAGCUCUCGGCUCAACCGAGAAAGUGCUGUCGAAACUACCAGUCUUGAGGGCGGAAGAGGAAACUGGAACUUCUGGUGUAGCGGUAAAAUGCGUAGAUAUCAGAAGGAACGCCGAUAGCGAAGGCAGGUUUCUGGGACGUUCCUGACGCUGAAACACGAAAGCUAGGGGAGCAAACA
rnacentral:rRNA from 1 species